GACGAACGCUGGCGGCGUGCUUAACACAUGCAAGUCGAACGAUGAAGAAGAGAAACGCGAACUUCGGUUCAAAUUUCACUUCGGAUUAGUGGCAGACGGGUGAGGAACGCGUGAGCAACCUACCUCUUACAAAGGGAUAGCCUCGGGAAACCGUGAUUAAUACCAUAUGACACAUUCAUAAGGCAUCUUAAGAAUGUUAAAGCUACGGCGGUAAGAGAUGGGCUCGCGUCCCAUUAGCUAGUUGGUGAGGUAACGGCCCACCAAGGCGACGAUGGGUAACCGGCCUGAGAGGGUGAACGGUCACAUUGGAACUGAGACACGGUCCAAACUCCUACGGGAAGCAGCAGUGGGGAAUAUUGCACAAUGGAGGGAACUCUGAUGCAGCGACGCCGCGUGAGCGAUGAAGGAAUUCGUUUCGUAAAGCUCUGUUCUAUGGGAAGAAAAGGACUGUACCAUAGGAGAAAGCCCCGGCUAAAUACGUG
rnacentral:rRNA from 1 species